CCAAAACCUAGCUGUCUGGCCGCAAGGCUCUGACGCUUCAACCCUUGUGAACCAAAAAACCUUUCGCUUCGGCAGCGGCUCCGGUUGGAAACGACCUGGGCGUCCAGCCUGCCGUUAGCACCAAACCUCAUAACUUGCAGUCAAAAACAUUGUCUGAUACCAAAUUUUCGAAUGAAAAUCA
rnacentral:misc_RNA from 1 species